rnacentral:tRNA from 1 species
GUGCCUGUGGCUCAAAAGACUAGGGCAUUGGCCCCAUAUGCCAGAGGUGGCAGGUUCAAACCCUGCCCUGGCCA